CAUCAGUCAUAUGAGUUAAUCGAUCGAUCUGAGUCCGAUGUAAAAUCUUAAUGAAAAACUCUUUUCCAUUAUUUCACUCUGCCAUGGCCAUGGGCUUAAGGACUCAAUCUUUCAAUUAUCAUAGGACUACUCCUCUCAUCUACCGAGGUUGAUAGAUCCCAUCUUGGUGCGACCUAGUUCCUACAAUGAAUGUGCUACAGCCAACAUACACCUCAAAGUUUUGAAUGGCUAGG
rnacentral:lncRNA from 1 species